AGCCCACCAGCUAGCUCAUACCCUAAAAUACAACAACCAAUUAUUAAUAACCAUUAAUAACCUUACAAUAAUAAACAAACCAUUUUUCCACCCUAGUACGGGCGACAGAAAAGGAUUAAAGAAGCUACAGCAAAAGUACCGCAAGGGAACGCUGAAAGAGAAAUGACAUAAAUCAGUAAAGCUAAUAAAAGCAGAGAUUAACCCUCGUACCUUUUGCAUCAUGAUUUAGCAAGUAGAUACAAGCAAAGAGCACUUUAGUUUGUAACCCCGAAACCAAGUGAGCUACUCCGAGACAGCCUUUAGGGCACACCCGUCUCUGUGGCAAAAGAGUGGGGAGAGCUCUGAGUAGAGGUGACAGACCUACCGAACUUGGUUAUAGCUGGUUACCCAGGAAUUGAAUAGAAGUUCAGCCUUUUACCCUCUUCCCACAAGCCUGGCUACACCCAAAGCCCCUAAGAGGAUAAAAGAGUUAGUCGAAGGGGGUACAGCCCCUUUGAAAAAGACACAACUUUAAAUGACGGGUUAAGAUCAUACCCUUUAAGGAAACGUGUUAUAGUUGGCCUAAAAGCAGCCACCCCAACGGAAAGCGUUAUAGCUCAGACACUUCCCCGCCCUAUUAUAUGGAUCACCAAAUCUUAUCCCCCACUAAUUACUGGGUCUUUCCAUACCCCUUAUGGAAGAGAUAAUGCUAAUAUGAGUAAUAAGAGACUAGAAUCUCUCCCCGCACAAGUAUACAUCGGAACGAACCCACACCGACAAUUGACGGCCCCAACAUGAGGGUAAUGAAAUGUUAUAGGCAGACCACUAGAAAAACACCCAUAAAACAACCGUUAACCUUACACCAGUGUGCACACAGGGAAAGACUAAAAGAAAGGGAAGGAACUCGGCA
rnacentral:rRNA from 1 species